UUAACCUCUUACCUGCUGAGCUCUCUCUCUCCACCCCCUAGUUUAAUUAUUUUUAAAGACUUAUUUGAUUACUUAUUUAUGUAUAUGUAUGUGUGUUUGUGUGCAUGCAAAUGAAUGACUGCAUAGGCCAGAAGAGAGCAUCCCUUGGAGCUGGAGUCACAAGUGGCUGUGAGCUGCCCAACAAGCCUGAGGAACUGAACUCUGGACCGCAAGCACUCUCACCCACUGAACUAGCUCUCCAGCCCUCAGUCACUACUACUGUUCCCUCGGGACACUUGGAUGAACCCAGGGCCUGGCACAUAACAGAUGAUUCUCCUGCCUCGGCCUCCCAUGUCCUGGAAUUACAGACCACUAUACCCAACACCACUGGACAUUUUGUUAGAUAAUUUACUUUAAUUUCAUUUGUUUCUGUUUUGAGACAGUGUCUUACUACAUCUUAAGCCAUUUUGUCUUGAACUUACAGAGAUCUAUCUGCCUCUGCCUCCACAGUGGUAGGAUUAACUCAGGGAUUUGUCUACCUCUGCCUCCCAAGUGCUAGGAUCAAAGGCAUGCGCCACCACCUUGGCUACCAAGUUAUUUCUGAACUUUUCUUUCACAACUGAAAAUCAUAAUAAUUGAAGAAAAUAGUGAAUAUUUCUGAAAUAAAAUUACUUUUACUUAAGUGUAUGGGUGUUUUGCCUGCAGUAAAUGUACUGUAUGAAUGUCCAGUACUUAUGGAGGCCAGAAGAGGGAACUUCUCUCUUACUGGAGUUACAGAUGGUUGUGAGCAGUCACACAGGCACUGGAUACAAAACCCAAGUCCAAAACAAAACUGUUGUUCCACUUUUCCCAUAGUGAACAAUUCUGUACAAAUAAUUCAAUUCCUUUUCAUUAAUUUCUUCAAGACGACACAGAGUCUGAAGAUGCAUGUUUGCAAGGCAAAGACCAAAACACUCUAGAUAUAAAGCACUUCAUCCUUUAUAUCAGCACUGUUUAGCUGCUCAAUAAGAGUACCUGUAAUGGUACAAAUUUUAAAAUAUUUAUUAUUAUUGUAUGUGUUAAUGUGUGGGAGUGUGGGCGAUACAUGCCAUAUGUUCUUGUGGAGGUCAGGGGACAAUGGUUAGGGAGACAGCUCUUUCUACCACAGGUUCUAUGGAUUGAAUUCAGGUCAUAAGGCUUGUAGGGCAAGCAUUUUCAUGGUCUGAGCCAUCUCGCCAGUCAAAGACGUUUUAUAAUUAUGCCGUCCAGUGUGGUAGUCAAAAGCCACGGCUUUUGGGGAAAGGAAUCAGUAGGUAAAGUGCUUGCUGUACAAUCACAGGACCAGAAUUCAGAUUGCCCAGCAUGGGAAAACGUCAGAGCAAAGUAUCAGGGAAAAUGGCGCAUACAUUCAAUUUCAGUUCUCAGAGGCAGAGGCAGAGAGUUCUCUGUAAAUUCCAGACCGAGCUGGUCUACAUAGUUCCAGGCCAGCCAGGGUUAAAUAAUGAGACCCUGUUUCAAACCAAAACCACAACCGAAUCAGAGGAGUGUCAGCCUGCUUGUAAUCUUAUUCUGGGAGAGGGAAACAGGCAAUCCUGAGGGCAGACCAGCUAGCCUAUGUAAGACUCACGGAAGACGACACUCAAUAUUGACUUUAGGCCUUCACACACAUGUGAACACACACAGAGUCAUGGCAGAUCCCCUAAGAACCCAACUCUUUCUUCAAGGUCGCUUUGUACUUGUUCUGUAAUGUUCUGGAAAUAACCUGUGUUCUCCUAGUGCAUCACUCUUUGAUUAGCUUUCUGUUGACUUUGCCCCAUUAUAUUUUCCCCUGAAAUCAGUAUAUGAGAUGCUGUACCUGAUAAGCUUGCCUGGCCUAAGACAUACUUUAUGUGAGAUCUCCUAGCCCUCCUGUUCUGUCUUUUCUAUCUCCGAUCCCCGGAUCUUCCUUCUCAGGACCCCAUCACUGGAGACGUGCCGGCCCAGGUCUUCCAAACGCUGGCACCAACAGAGUGCGCCACCGUGACCAAGUCCAGGGCAACUCUUGAGACUUCAAUUCCCAGCAACCACAUGGUGGCUUAUAACAUCUGUAAUGGGAUCUGAUUCCUUCUCCUGUACAUGAAGACAGAUCGCUCAUGUACAUAAAAUACAUGAAUAAUAAAUCUUAAAAAAAAAUAAUCCACUACUAGCCAAUUCAUCAAGAGAGGUUUCCUUAGUAAGAUCUCUGUGACUUGACUAUGACAAGUCAGGGCCGACUGCUUAUGCCAGUCCUCCCAUCAAACACGAGAAGGAUGUUUUACCUUGCUUUACUUCUUCUGAAGCCAUGGAGUCCCCCACCUCAAAAUCUGCGCUGAUCCUCUUCCUGAGGAAGCGUAAGUACAGCUCACUUCGCGCAUUCAUCAGGGUAACCUCAGUCAAGACGGGGUCCAGCUCCCUGAGACACAGAACAUGGGGAA
rnacentral:lncRNA from 1 species